UGUUAUAUUUGUUUCAUUUUUAUUUUUAUCAUUUCAGGAAAGGCAAUUGGGCCUAUUCUCAAACUGAGGCCCAGAAUAUUGGAGAGAAGAUAACUGUUUUGGAAUAUGAUAACAUAAGAGAUAAGAAAUCCAACUGUGCGAAGAGAAACCAGUUCCCAGUGGAGUCUAGACAACGACAUUUUGGAGCUGAGAAGCCACCUUGUCCAGCGGCUCCCAGACUUUAUUUCUAGGUAACCAGACCACCAACAUAACAGCCCAGGGCUCACCAAAGUACAAACUCAGAAGCGUCUGGGUCCUCUUAAGGAUUAGACCCAGAACUGGGGCAGCAUCACUUCAUCACCCCCUACCAUUUGAAGC